rnacentral:lncRNA from 1 species
UUGGUCAUACAAGGGGAUAUUACUUCGGCUGACGACAUCACCGCUAUUGUGAAAAGAACUGCGGAGCACUUCGGGAAAAUUGAUAUUUUGGUCAAUAACGCUGGGAUUGCCAAGGCUGCUCCUCUAGGAGAAAUUAGUCUGGAUGAAUUUGACGAGGUUUACAACACAAACCUACGCUCUGCCUUCAGCAUGACACAGCAGGCUCUUCCGUACCUCAAGAAAACGAAAGGAAACAUUGUAAACGUCUCAAGCGUGACAACUCUGCGAUGCG